UUUCCGUAGGUGAACCUGCGGAAGGAUCAUUGCACACACGAUGCAGCAAACUAGCGAACUGUGUUUGUCCCCCACCUACCCCAAACACGAGGUGCCGCAUCUGGAGGUGCGGCUGUCGACGGCAAGGUCCCGACCUUCGGGUCCCCGCAGUGGUUCCCGCAAGCAGGCUGAUCAUGUCGCCGCGUGGGUGUCCCGCGCGGGCUCUCGCCUUGCCUUAGGGUUGGGCGACGCGGACAUUCUCCUCCCUUUGAUGGCGUCGUCCCCUCCUCCGGGAGAGCGACACGCCUCGAGAGCCGUUUACAACUUUUCACCAUGUACAGAACCAGGAACUGGGUAUACCUGUGUCCCGGUUCCGCUGCUGCCUUAGGGUGGUGCGAGAUUGGUCCAUAGGAACAAGAGUAAAUAAAAACAACUCUCGGCAACGGAUAUCUUGGCUCUU
rnacentral:misc_RNA from 1 species